rnacentral:rRNA from 1 species
UACGAAGGGGGCUAGCGUUGUUCGGAAUUGCUGGGCGUAAAGCGCGCGUAGGCGGUGAUCUUUGUCAGAGGUGAAAGCCUGGGGCUCAACUCCAGAAUUGCCUUUGAAACGGGAUCGCUUGAGUCCGAGAGAGGAUGGCGGAAUUCCUAGUGUAGAGGUGAAAUUCGUAGAUAUUAGGAAGAACACCGGUGGCGAAGGCGGCCAUCUGGCUCGGUACUGACGCUCAGGCGCGAAAGCGUGGGGAGCAAACAGG